CCUACGUGAGGCAGCAGUAGGGAAUCUUCCACAAUGGGCGAAAGCCUGAUGGAGCAACGCCGCGUGGGUGAAGAAGGUCUUCGGAUCGUAAAACCCGGUUGUUAGAGAAGAAAGUGCGUGAGAGUAACUGUUCACGUUUCGACGGUAUCUAACCAGACAGCCACGGCUAACUACGUGCCAGCAGCCGCGGGAAUACGUAGGUGGCAAGCGUUAUCCGGAUUUAUUGGGCGUAAAGGGAACGCAGGCGGUCUUUUAAGUCUGAUGUGAAAGCCUUCGGCUUAACCGGAGUAGUGCAUUGGAAACUGGGGGACUUGAGUGCAGAAGAGGAGAGGGGAACUCCAGGUGUAGCGGUGAAAUGCGUAGAUAUAUGGAAGAACACCAGUGGCGAAAGCGGCUCUCUGGGCUGUAACUGACGCUGAGGUUCGAAAGCGUGGGUAGCAAACAGGAUUAGAUACCCUGGUAGUC
rnacentral:rRNA from 1 species